rnacentral:lncRNA from 1 species
AUGGCAAUUCAAGAGAAGCCCAAGAAACCACCAUCCCACGGCAAAGGGAAGAAGUUGGAGACCCUCCGCUUGGUGCUAUGCACACCACCUCCAUCUUCUUGUCAACAAAACCCUACGGGGCCAACAAAAUCUGAUGCUCACCAUCAACGGCAACACUGGGAUGAUGAAGAGAAAUUGGAGAAUAGCAAGCGAAAGCUUCACCAAGGCUAUCAAGAGUUCCAAAACAAGAGAAAGAAAAUUCAACGUCUUGACGUCAAGAACUUGCCUUUGCCGUCUAAGCCUCAGCGAGGCCGGGUUUUGAGCGAGAACAAGCCGUUGAUCAGUUCGAGGAAGCGCCCAGAGCCUCUGAUUUUUCGAAGAGCCAACAAAACCCUAAGGAGCUCACAAAAUCCACUUAUCAUGAUCUCCAUCAUCGGCAAGAUUGGGAUGAUGAAGAGAAGUUGGAGACUAGUGUUCGAAAGCUUCACCAAGGCUAUCAAGAGUUCCAAAACAAGCGAAAGAAAAUUCAAGUUAUCGACAUCAAGAACUUGCCUUUGCCGUCUAAGCCUGGACGAGGUCGGGUUUUGACAAAGAACAAGUUUCUGAGUCUGACCAGCUCCAGGAAUUGCCGAGCCUUCUGA